rnacentral:rRNA from 1 species
GAUGAACGCUGGCGGCGUGCCUAAUACAUGCCAGUCGAGCGAACAGAUGAGGAGCUUGCUCCUCUGACGUUAGCGGCGGACGGGUGAGUAACACGUGGAUAACCUACCUAUAAGACUGGGAUAACUUCGGGAAACCGGAGCUAAUACCGGAUAAUAUACUGAACCGCAUGGUUCAAUAGUGAAAGACGGUUUUGCUGUCACUUAUAGAUGGAUCCGCGCCGCAUUAGCUAGUUGGUAAGGUAACGGCUUACCAAGGCAACGAUGCGUAGCCGACCUGAGAGGGUGAUCGGCCACACUGGAACUGAGACACGGUCCAGACUCCUACGGGAGGCAGCAGUAGGGAAUCUUCCGCAAUGGGCGAAAGCCUGACGGAGCAACGCCGCGUGAGUGAUGAAGGUCUUCGGAUCGUAAAACUCUGUUAUUAGGGAAGAACAAAUGUGUAAGUAACUAUGCACGUCUUGACGGUACCUAAUCAGAAAGCAACGGCUAACUACGUG